GGAGAGGUGGCCGAGCGGUUGAAGGCGCCGCUCUCGAAAAGCGGUAUCCUUUUAAAAAGAGGAUCGUGGGUUCGAAACCCACCCUCUCCG
rnacentral:tRNA from 1 species